rnacentral:rRNA from 1 species
UACAGAGGUCUCAAGCGUUGUUCGGAUUCAUUGGGCGUAAAGGGUGUGUAGGUGGCGCGCUAAGUCGGGUGUGAAAUUUCGGAGCUUAACUCCGAAACUGCAUUCGAUACUGGCGUGCUUGAGGACUGGAGAGGAGAAUGGAAUUCCUGGUGUAGCGGUGAAAUGCGCAGAUAUCAGGAGGAACACCAGUGGCGAAGGCGGUUCUCUGGGCAUUACCUGACGCUGAGGAGCGAAAGUGUGGGGAGCGAACAGG